rnacentral:rRNA from 1 species
AUGGCGGAGCCCGUGGCCAACGCGGCGGCGCCCGCCCCCGCGCCCGGCCGCCUCCGCAACGCCUUCGGAGGCGUGCUCUGCGCCUUCACCCUCAUCCUCAUCGGCGUCCUCGCCUUCUCGAUCCGCCUCUUCUCCGUGAUCAAGUACGAGAGCGUGAUCCACGAGUUCGACCCCUACUUCAACUUCCGCGUCACCCAGUUUUUGUCGAAGAAUGGAAUCUACGAGUUCUGGAACUGGUUUGAUGAUAGGACAUGGUAUCCCCUUGGUCGUGUGAUCGGUGGCACUGUGUAUCCUGGGUUGACUUUGACAGCUGGAAGCAUUUGGUGGUUGGUAAACGCUCUGAACAUCCCAUUGUCGGUGGAGACUGUCUGCGUGUUCACUGCUCCAAUUUUCUCAGCAAUCGCUUCCUGGGCUACUUACCUCUUGACAAAGGAGGCAAAGGGCACUGGAGCUGGAUUGAUGGCAGCAGCCAUUUUGGCAAUGGUCCCUUCGUACAUCUCAAGAUCAGUUGCUGGCAGCUAUGAUAAUGAAGCUGUAGCAAUAUUUGCCUUGAUAUUCACAUUUUAUCUGUAUGUAAAGACACUGAACACAGGAUCACUCUUUUAUGCAACGCUCAAUGCUCUCUCAUAUUUCUACAUGGUCUGUUCUUGGGGAGGCUACACAUUCAUCAUAAACCUUAUUCCGAUGCAUGUGCUGUUGUGCAUUGUAACCGGUCGUUAUUCUUCGCGACUGUACAUUGCAUAUGCUCCCCUUGUUAUACUGGGAACACUUCUGGCAGCUUUGGUACCUGUCGUUGGUUUUAAUGCUGUAUUGACAUCUGAGCACUUUGCAUCAUUUCUGGUGUUUAUAAUCCUUCAUGUGGUUGCUUUUGUGUAUUACAUCAAAGGACUUCUGACUCCCAGGCUGUUCAAAAUGGCUAUGACUCUUGUUAUAACUGUUGGCCUGGCUGUUUGUUUUGCAGUGGUAGCUAUACUCGUAGCGUUGGUGGCAUCUAGCCCAACAAAAGGCUGGAGUGGGCGCAGUUUGAGUCUACUGGACCCAACCUAUGCAAGCAAGUAUAUUCCCAUCAUUGCCAGUGUCAGUGAACAUCAACCCCCUACCUGGCCCUCUUAUUUUAUGGAUAUCAAUGUUUUGGCCUUCUUGGUUCCUGCUGGAAUAAUUUCAUGCUUCUUGCCUUUGUCCGAUGCAAGUUCAUUCAUGGUCUUGUACUUGGUCACUGCGGUAUAUUUUUCUGGAGUGAUGGUUCGGCUUAUGCUUGUCCUUGCUCCUGCUGCGUGCAUUCUAUCCGGAAUUGCUCUUUCCUCAGCCUUCGAUGUCCUCACACGAUCUAUGAAAUUUCAGCUAUCAAAACUAUUUGAUGAUGGCCCUGCUAUUUCAGGGAAUGGUAGCCCAAAUGGUUCUAGUGCUAGCACGGUCAAUACAAGUUCAUCCAAAAAUGAGAAGACUGAAAAAUCUGAAGCAGCUCCAAAGGAAAAACCAUCAAAGAAGAACAGGAGGAAGGACAAAGAAGUGACAGAAAGUGUUUCUGUGAAGCCUAAAAAGGAAAAGAGACUUUCGGUACUGCCUUUGGAAGCAUCUAUUGUGUGCACUCUUUUACUGAUCGCGUUAGGUGGUUUCUAUGUGGUCCAUUGUGUUUGGGCUGCAGCUGAAGCGUACUCUGCACCUUCAAUUGUGUUGACAUCUCGUUCACGCGAGGGAUUGCAUGUAUUUGAUGAUUUCCGUGAAGCUUAUGCAUGGCUUAGCCAUAACACAGAUGUGGAUGACAAGGUUGCAUCCUGGUGGGACUAUGGUUAUCAAACAACUGCUAUGGCUAACAGGACUGUGAUUGUAGACAACAAUACCUGGAACAACACUCACAUAGCAACAGUUGGUACAGCAAUGUCAUCCCCAGAAAAGGCAGCAUGGGAGAUCUUUGAUUCUUUAGAUGUUAAAUAUGUGCUUGUUGUGUUUGGAGGUCUGGUUGGCUACCCUAGUGAUGAUAUUAACAAGUUCCUUUGGAUGGUUCGCAUAGGAGGUGGUGAAUUCCCUCACAUCAAGGAGCCAGAUUAUCUUAGAGAUGGCCAGUACCGUGUUGAUGCUCAAGCAACUCCAACUAUGUUGAAUUGCCUCAUGUACAAGCUUUGCUAUUACAGGUUUGUUGAGACUGAUGGCAAAGGCUUUGAUAGAGUAAGAGGAUAUGAAAUAGGAAAGAAGCAUUUCAAGCUAACACAUUUUGAGGAGGUUUUCACAACCCACCACUGGAUGGUGCGCAUUUAUAAACUGAAACCUCAAAAGAACAGGAUUCGGGGCAAGUUGAAGAAGUCGAAAUCCAGUUCCAAAACUAGUUCGACGCUUGCAGCGGGUCGAAAGAAGAACCCAUGGCAAUGA